GUAAAAGUACUAGUUGAUACACGAGUCGUGUUUGGGUUUUUCAGUGUUCGAACGAACCACUUCAUUCCUUCGAUUUGAUUUGUGAAAGGAAAAAGAAAACCCUCCGAAAACCCAAAACCCUGAUUCUCAAUUCCGAUGGAUUUUCAAGUCGUUGUUCUCGCCGGCGGCGUCUCCAAAAAACUCACCCCUCUCGUUUCAAAGGAGCUUCCGAAUGCUUUACUUCCGGUGGCGAACCGUCCGCUUCUCUCUUACGUUGUCGAGCUUUUGGAGCUUAGCAACCUUAAAGAUCUCAUCGUGGUAGUUGAAGGUCAAGAUGCUGCUCUUAACGUUGGGGCGUGGAUUUCGGGAGCUUAUGCCGAUCGCCUCCAUGUCGAGGUUGCUGCGGUUCCUGAGGAUGUGGGAACAGCUGGUGCAAUUCGAGCAAUUGCACGCCACCUAUACGCGAAAGACAUUUUGAUUGUCAGCGGUGAUCUUGUUUCUGAUGUGCCGAUUGGUGCUGUUGCCGCUACUCAUCGACGGCAUGAUGCGGUUGUCACUGCUUUGCUUUGUAAUUCUCCUGUAAGUGGACCUUUAGAGUCGGUGUCCUCUGGUGGGAAAGACAAAACCAAGAAACCUGGCCGCUAUGAUUUGAUAGGGCUGGACCCUACGAAACAGUUUUUACUUCAUAUAGCAACUGGAGCUGAAGUUGAAAAAGAUCUUCGAAUUCAGAAGAGCAUACUCCGUGCCGUUGGCCAGAUAGAAAUAAGAGCUGAUCUAAUGGAUGCCCACUUGUAUGCAUUCAAAAGAUCAGUUCUACUAGAAGUUCUAGAUCAGAAGUGUGAAUUUCAAAGCUUAAAACAUGAUGUAUUACCAUAUCUUGUCCGCAGCCAACUGAAAUCGGAAGUAUUAUUAAAUGGAACACCACAAGCAGAAGAAAAUGGAACUGAGAAGGGUAUUUCUCAAAAGAAUCAACAAAUGUUAUCUCAAAUACUUGCUAAUGCAUCUGAGCCGACAUUUCAUCUACGUCAUGCACUUAGUACUAAUGGUUCUGACUCUGUUCGGAGAACCCAUAAAUGCUGUGUCUAUAUUGCUGGAAGUAGCAAGUACUGUGCUCGCCUGAAUUCUAUACAAGCAUACAAUGAUAUAAACCGGGAUGUGAUAGGAGAAGCUAGUCAUUUGUCAGGGUAUUCCUUCUCUGCUCAUAACAACAUUAUCCAUCCCACUGCAGAGCUUGGGACAAAAACAACUGUAGGACCACAUUGUAUGCUGGGGGAAGGUUCACUGAUGGGUGACAAGUGCAGUGUAAAACGAUCUGUCAUUGGCCGCCACUGUAGGAUAGGUGCCAAUGUUAAGGUGGGAUAUGUUGUCCCUGCAAUUAACAUGAAGUUGUUAAUUCAGUAGUUAUGAACCAUGUUACUAUCGGUGAUUUUUGUUCAAUCCAAGGUUCUGUCAUAUGCAGCAAUGUACAGCUCCAAGAACGUGCAAUACUAAAAGAUUGCCAAGUCGGAGCAGGUUUCGUGGUCACGGCAGGUAGUGAGUGCAAAGGAGAGGUAUUGGCUAAGAAAUGAAACUGGGAUGUGAAAAUCCAGGGUGUGGAAAUGCAUAGCAAUUUGACUUUUGUUUCGACUUCAGCUUUGCUUGGAGCAAAUUUUGCGGUUUUUGCUGUCAAUAGUUAAGAUUUGUAGAUCAUGGCAGGAGGAACAGAAAUUAAAAUAUUUCCAAUCUGUAGUUCUGUCAUUUGCAUUUAUAUUCUCUUAUAACCAUAGUUUGAAAAUGGCUUCACUCCAAUCGGCGUUGAGUUUUUUUUUUUUGUAUAAACUUGUUUUCUCUUAAAGUUGAACUUCUGCCAUUGAAAUGUAUUAUGUUAUAAGAGACUUGGCUGUUGGUAUCAUAUUGCUGCAUUAAAGUGGUAUGAUCCUGCACAAUCAGUUUUGUACUUGAUCAAAGGAGUACUAUUGACAUAUUUUUAUCCUGUUUUGGUUUUUCUUUA